rnacentral:rRNA from 1 species
UAUCUCUGUAGAGUCUGCAUAUCAAUAAGCGGAGGAAAAGAAACUAACUAGGAUUCCCUCAGUAACGGCGAGUGAAGCGGGAAGAGCUCAAAUUUGAAAUCUUCAAGGUGUCUACCUUGACGAAUUGUAGUUUAAAGAAGUGUUUUCUGUUGGAGUUUUGGUAAAAGUUCUUUGGAAUAGGACAUCAUAGAGGGUGAGAAUCCCGUAUUUGACCAUUAUUUCCAGCUUUGUGAUACACUUUCAAAGAGUCGGAUUGUUUGGGAAUGCAGUCCAAAAUGGGUGGUAAAUUUCAUCUAAAGCUAAAUACUGGCGAGAGACCGAUAGCGAACAAGUACCGUGAGGGAAAGAUGAAAAGAACUUUGAAAAGAGAGUUAAACAGUACGUGAAAUUGUCAAAAGGGAAGCGUUUGACACCAGUGUUGUUCUUCUCGAAAAUCAAUUAAAAAAGGCAGGAUUUUGUGUUGUAUUGACUUUAUCAGCUUUCUGCACUCUUUUCCUUGUCUUUUUUAAUGCACUUUUCGUUUAACAAGUCAACAUCAAUUUCUUUUGUUGUAAAAGGGUCAUUGGAAGGUGGCUUUCUUUUCGGAGAAAGUGUUUAUAGCCUUUGGCCUCUGCAAUCGGAGAGAUUGAGGUCUGCAGCGUAGAUCCUUCGGGGUUAGAUACAUUUGUGCUAAGUUAUAGCCUUUCAUAGACAACUUGUUGACUAUGAUCAGUCAUGUAGCUUACUCGCUUAUGCUAUUUUACCUACGCUUAGGAUGUUGAAGUCAUCGUAUCGCGC